AGUGAACGCUGGCGGUAGGCCUAACACAUGCAAGUCGAACGGCAGCACAGUAAGAGCUUGCUCUUACGGGUGGCGAGUGGCGGACGGGUGAGGAAUACAUCGGAAUCUACUUUUUCGUGGGGGAUAACGUAGGGAAACUUACGCUAAUACCGCAUACGACCUACGGGUGAAAGCAGGGGAUCUUCUGACCUUGCGCGAUUGAAUGAGCCGAUGUCGGAUUAGCUAGUUGGCGGGGUAAAGGCCCACCAAGGCGACGAUCCGUAGCUGGUCUGAGAGGAUGAACAGCCACCCUGGAACUGAGACACGGUCCAGACUCCUACGGGAGGAAGCAGUGGGGAAUCUUGGACAAUGGGCGAAAGCCUGAUCCAGCAAUACCGCGUGGGUGAAGAAGGCCUUCGGGUUGUAAAGCCCUUUUGUUGGGAAAGAAAAGCAGCAGGUUAAUACCCCGCUGUUCUGACGGUACCCAAAGAAUAAGCACCGGCUAACUUCGUG
rnacentral:rRNA from 1 species